UUUGACAAGCGCGUGAAAUUAGUCUUGGCCCUCACCACGUACCAUAGACGCAUGUUUGCAGACGACGUGUUAUCUGUUUUGUUUUGGGCGGCAACAUGGCUUAAAUAAAAGUGAAACAAGUCAUUAUGGAAGUGGCGACUCGUCAGCAGUAGACGAAUUAAACUGCUGGCUGGAUUUCUACAGCCAGCCUACAUGACUCACCUCGCUUGUUGUGCCUGACUGACACAUGGAUGCCCAGGGGUACAAGUGGGUCCGAUGGCGGGUGUGGCUGUGUCACGUGGUGGCUGUGCUGUCCCUGGGUGUUCUCCUCAUUGUGUUUCGCUGGCGCCCACGGCUAGCUCUUUUUGCACGCUGCCGUCCCUGUCCUCUGGGGCUUGCAGAUCUUGUGCUAAUACGAGAUAAUUGUGGCAUAUUCCAUGUGGUGGAGGUUCUCACAGAGGAGUUGGAGGAGGGAAGUUUGGAAUUAUUGGGCGAUACAGAGACUACAGAAUGGAGGGACACAGUUGAGCUUUACCAGGAGAAGAAAACUCUACUGCGCUACUACCUGUUUGAAGGACUUCGCUUCAUAUGGUUGGACAGGAAGGCCACUUUCUGUCUUGCAAGUGUCCUAAAUGAGGACUGGACCUGCAAGGACCUUCAUGGUUACAAAAAUGGUUUGAGUCACCUUGAGCAGAACUUUAGGAGACAAGUGUAUGGGCCCAACGUGAUUGAUGUGCCUGUGAAGUCUUACUUCAAACUAUUGAUUGAGGAGGUGCUCAACCCCUUUUAUGUGUUCCAGUUAUUUAGCAUGGUCCUGUGGACGGUUGAUGAAUAUUACUACUACUCCACGAGUAUAUUUUUAAUUUCUCUUAUAUCCAUUGGUAUCUCACUUUAUGAGAUCCGCAAGCAAAGAGUCAUUCUUCACAACAUGGCCCGAUUGGUCACUAAUGUCACCGUGAUAAGGACCUCUGGAGAUAAACGUGUUUUAUCAGAACAGGAGAACGUUAGUUCAAUGGAGCUGGUGCCUGGUGACUGCAUAUGCUUACCUAAGAAUGGCCUGCUGAUGCCUUGUGAUGCUGCCCUGCUGGCAGGGGAGUGUCUGAUAAAUGAGGGCAUGUUGACAGGUGAGAGCGUUCCAGUGCUGAAAACUCCCCUGCUGGAUUCGGAGAAUAUAUACAACUCGGCCGCUGAGCGCAAGCACACGCUGUUCUGUGGAACGCAGCUCAUCAGGGCCAAAGGAGGAGGUCUCGGUGAUUUUGGUGCUGUCGCCGUAGUCACAGGCACUGGAUUUUUUACUGCCAAAGGUAACUUGAUCAGCUCCAUUUUGUACCCUCAGCCAACCAGCUUUCGCUUCUACCGAGACGCUGCAAAGUUCUUGGUCAUCUUGGGGUUUCUUGCUUGUAUUGGGACAAUUUACAGCUUUGUUAUACUCUCAAACUAUGACAUGAGCUGGUUUUCGGUGGUGAUUCGGGUUUUGGAUAUUAUCACCAUUGUGGUGCCUCCGGCCCUGCCUGCCGCCAUCACUGUCGGCACCAUCUAUGCCCAGAACAGACUGAAAAGGCAAGGCAUCUUCUGCAUAAGUCCACCACGCAUCAAUGUCUGUGGCAAGGUGUCGCUCUUUUGUUUUGACAAGACAGGAACCUUGACAGAGGAGGGCCUGGAUGUGUGGGGAGUCAUGGAAGCGCGAUCUGCCGGUUUUUCAGAUGUGGUCUCUGACCCUAGACUUCUCCCACCUGGGCCAAUGCUCUCGUGCCUUGCCUGCUGUCACACUCUUGCCCUGCUGGAAGGGCAGCCCAUUGGAGACCCUCUGGAGCUCAAAAUGUUCAAAUCUACCGGUUGGACACUCCAGGAACCAGAGGAAGACAGUGGUGUGCUGGAUGCGGAGUUCGGAGGGCACAAAGUGUUAGCUGUAAUGAAACAUCCUCCGAGCCUUCUUCCUUUUCACCUAAAUUCCUCAGGCGCACCUGUGGCAAUCGUUCAGCGGUUUCCCUUCUCUUCGGCCUUGCAGAGGAUGAGCGUGGUGACUGUGGCCUGCGGGGGGCGCUCUGCUAUAGCUUUCAUGAAAGGUUCUCCAGAAAUGGUGGCAAGCCUCUGCAGACAAGAAACUGUACCGCCGCAGUUUUCAAAGAAACUAUGCAGAUUUUCCAGUGAAGGUCUUCGAGUUCUUGCUCUUAGUUAUAAAUCAAUGGACACAAGCACUGAUCUAAGGGCCACUGAGCGAGGGGAGGUAGAGAAAGACAUGCAGUUCUUGGGCCUGUUGAUGAUGAAGAACCUGGUGAAGCCAGAGAGCGCUGACGUCAUAUGCACAUUGAGUUUGGCGAAGCUCCGAACUGUCAUGGUCACAGGUGACAACAUUCGAACAGCAGUCAAUGUUGCCCAAAGCUGUGGAAUGGUGAGGGCUGAUGAGAGGGUCAUCUUUGUUGAAGCUGCUGCCCGCACAGCUCAAACCAGACCCAUGCUGAGGUUCACCCUAGAAGAUCAGGAGGGCACGUUAGUCACAGCCCAGGCUCUCUACCAGACACAUUUUGGUUAUCAUUUGGCGAUUAAUGGCAGUUCAUUUGCUGUCCUCUGUGACCACUUCCCUGAGCAUCUGCCAAAGGUUUUGAUGCGAACAACAGUCUUUGCACGUAUGGCUCCUGACCAGAAAACACAACUGGUGAAAGAGUUGCAGAAACUAAACUACCUGGUGGGCAUGUGUGGAGAUGGUGCCAACGAUUGCGGUGCCUUGAGAGCUGCUGACGCCGGCAUCUCUUUGUCAGAGGCAGAGGCUUCCAUCGCUUCGCCUUUUACUUCCAAGACUCAAAACAUCAGCUGUGUGCCACUCCUCAUUAGAGAAGGUCGAUGUUCCCUGGUCACCGCGUUCAGCCUUUUCAGAUACAUGGCCGUGUACAGCAUGAUUCAGUUCUGCUCUGUGCUCAUUCUAUACACAGUGAGCACCAAUCUGGCUGACCUGCAGUUCCUGUUCAUUGACGUUGCGCUUGUGACCCUGUUGGCUAUCGUGAUGGGGAAAGGCGGCCCCAGUGAGAAACUGAGCCCCUACCGGCCUCCGGCCAAUCUGAUGGCCCUGCCCGUUUUAGGCAGCCUCUUCAUCCACAUAUCCAUGAUAAUCUUAGCCCAGUUGACUGUGCUCUUCAUCACCACCUCACAGGAUUGGUCAGUGCAAAGUCAACAACUUGUAUAUUCCGCUCAAUUCCACAGUGUUUGGGACUGCCAACUUACCCAACAUGGACAACACCAGUGUGUUUUCCUUGUCUGGUUUCCAGUACAUCUUCAUGGCUGUGGUGGUAACAAAGGGUCUCCCUCACAAGAAACGUAUUUAUCACAACGUGAUAUUCCUGUGUUUACUCCUCGUCCUGUUCGCCGUGAUGACUUGUCUGGUUUUGUAUCCCGGACCUUUCUUCAUAAAGAUAAUGCAGCUCUAUGACUUCGCUGACUUGAAUUUCAAGAUGCUGCUUGUCGCUCUGGCUGCUCUCAAUUUCCUUGUUUGUUUUGUGGUGGAGAUGCUGAUCGAUGUUGGUGUGCUGAACUAUCUUCACUGUCUAUGCCCAAAGCGUUCAUCCAAGAAAAAGUUCAAACACCUCAACUCAAUCCUUUGCGACCCCAGUGUCCCAUCAUGGCCGCCCCUGAACCAAACACUUUACUCUUCUGAGUACACAGCUGUUGGCAUAAAUUAGUGUCUUGCCCCCUCCUCCUGAAAUACAAACAAUAAUAAAGUGUUUGGAUUUAUGACUCUA